UGAAAUAACGGUUCUCGUAUGCUCACCGAAGUUAAGCAACGUUGAGCCUGAUCAGUAGCUAGAUGGGUGACCGCUUGGGAAUACCAGAUGCUGUAAG